UGUAGUCUGCAACUCGACUACAUGAAGCUGGAAUCGCUAGUAAUCGCGAAUCAGAAUGUCGCGGUGAAUACGUUCCCGGGUCUUGUACACACCGCCCGUCACACCAUGGGAGUCGGAAAUGCCCGAAGUCAGUGACCUAACCGAAAGGGAGGAGCUGCCGAAGGUGGAGCCGGUAACUGGGGUGAAGUCGUAACAAGGUAGC
rnacentral:rRNA from 1 species